GACGAACGCUGGCGGCGUGCUUAACACAUGCAAGUCGAACGAAGUGGCGAACGGGUGAGUAAUACGUGGGUAACCUGCCCUCCUUUUUGGGAUAAGCCUUGGAAACGGGGUCUAAUACCGAAUAAAGGGGGAUGGGCUCGCGGCCUAUCAGCUUGUUAGGGGUGUGAGGGCCUACCAAGGCGGUGACGGGUAGCCGGCCUGAGAGGGUGAGCGGGCACAUUGGGACGGAGAUACGGCCGAGACUCCUACGGGAGGCGGCAGUGGGGGAUAUGGCCCAAUGGGCGAAAGCCUGAUGCAGCCAUGCCGCGGGAAUGAAGAAGGCCGUCGGGUUGGAAAGUUCUUUCGGUAGUGAGGCGGUAAAUACAGAAGAAGCACCGGCUAACUCCGUGCCAGCGGGCGCGGUAAUAC
rnacentral:rRNA from 1 species